UUUGGGAAGUGAUGAAAAAUUCAUCUCAGAUGUCCUUUAUGGAUUUAUGUAAAUGAUGAAAAAUUGCACGUCAGUCUGAUCCCAGC